rnacentral:rRNA from 1 species
GCAUAUAAUUAAGCGGAGGAAAAGAAACUAACCAGGAUUCCCUUAGUAAGGGCGACUGAAGAGGGAAUAGCUCGUGCUGUGAAUCUGUGCUUGUAUGAAGCGCCGAAUUGUGGUCUGUAGAAGCAAGUGUUUGGCACGCCGGGCCAAGUCCCUUGGAAAAGGGCAGCUGAGAGGGUGAGACUCCCGUAAUUGCCUGGGCUGUGGUCAUGUGACACUAGCUUUCUACGAGUCGAGUUGUUUGGGAUUGCAGCUCAAAUYGGGUGGUAAAUUCCACCUAAAGCUAAAUAGGAGUGGGAGAUCGAUAGCGUACAAGUACCGUGAGGGAAAGAUGCAAAGAACUUUGAAAAGAGAGUUAAAGAGUACCUGAAAUUGCUGUAAGGGAAGUGAAGGAAAUCAGUGCCUUGCUUGGUCAUAUUUCCCCUCCUGCUUGCAGGUGAGGCGCUGUGGCUUUGCAUGAUGUCACCCUUUGUUGGUCCAGGCAGAAACAGGCUUACGGGAGGUAGGUCCACUUGUGGUCUGAUACCGUGCGUCUCGUGUGCCGGGACUGAUGGAGGGCNACAAAAUGGUCUUCUUUACCCCGUCUUGAA